CCCGCAAACUUGUUACACAAAUGUGUAAAGAGUGCCAAACACCGCUGUGCAGCUCAUGCUUCGUGCACUACCACACACAAGAACGGUACUGACAGAGUUGGCUACAGUGGCGCCUGCCUCACCAAGUUGCUGCCGUGCCCGCUCAUAAAUGAAAGUAUCAACGGUCUGACGCUGAUUGCCGACGGAGGUGCUUUGAGAAUAAUGUCAAGAGUUGUUGAAUAACUCCCCAAGACAUCCUAAGUGGAAAUGCUGUUGUAAGUAAUGCAUACAGAUGUACACAGCGCAACACGGCAAGGUGGCAUCAUGUGUCACACCAAGCUGCUGCUGCCCACUGGCAAGAAAAGUAAAUAAAGUUCACUUUUUUAUAACACA